CAAAAAGAAGGACAGCAAUAAACAGUCAUGUCAACACAGUGGGACAGAAGGGCGAGGGCCACCCAGCUGAAAUGACAUCACACCUUUACUCCUAUGAGAAUGCAAGCUCCAUGAGCAUGAUGGCCUUGCCUGUCUUGUUCAUGCUUGGAUCCCUCGGACCCAGCACAGUCCGUGGCAUAAAGCAAACAGGAAAUCUAAAUGAUCUUAGAGCCCAAGCAAUGGAGCAAAUGACAGACUGACCCAAUCUGAAAAUACAACAGUGCUCAAAGUUUCUUGACGUUUUGAAGAUCGGUAUUUUAAAUGAAGGAGACAUAGAUAUCGGCGCUUUGAAUGCAAGGACCAGAUUCUCCUGGAAUUUUCUCCCUUCACCUCUGAUGUCAGCCACAAACAUAUGUAGGUAUGUAUCACAAAUUUUCUAACGAUU